GUCAUUUGUGAGUGAACAGAUCUAUGGGCAAGUACCCUAGGUAGCCCCACUUAACAGAUGAUGAACUGACGCUCAGAGAGAGAUGUAGCCUCGGGACAGCGUGUGGUUCUAGCCUGUUCAGCCCUGAAGAAAACGUACAGAGACAUAUUAACACAAGGAAAAGAUGGUGUAGCUCUGAAGUGUGAGGAGUCGGGAAAGGAAGCAAAGCAGGCUGAGAUGCAGCUCCUGGUGGUCCAUCUGAGCGGGUCGUUUGAGGUCAUCUCUGGACGCUUACUCAAAAGAGAGGGACAUUUUAUGCCCCCUGAAUUAUUGCAGUCCCAGUUUGAGACUCUGGAGCCCCCAGCAGCUCCAGAAAACUUUAUCCAAAUAAGUGUGGACAAAAAUGUUUCAGAGAUAAUUGCUACAAUUAUGGAAACCCUAAAAAUGAAAUGACAAUGAUUUUGUAUCAGUGGUCCAAACAGAACUAAGCAUAAAUCAUUGUGCCAUCCCAAACCUCGUUCCAGCCGCCUUGCCCAUACUAGAUUCUAAAUGUUUCUAAAGGCAAACCCCAAUGUGUCAAGACAGACUUGUUUAGGUGUAAUUUUAGGAAUUAUGCUGGUUCAUCAGGAAGCAGAGGGGGAGUUUUAAAAGUCAAGCUUAAAUUGAAGUUUAAAUUCAUCUAUAACCAAAUCAAAUGAUCAGAGGAAAUUCUGUAAUCAAUGCUGGAAAUCGUUACAUUGUUUAGAACAUUCUUGCUCAUGCCUGUAUUUG
rnacentral:lncRNA from 10 species